GAACAAGCACAAGUACAAGAAGCUCACGAAGCGUCUCCGGCGAAAGGCAUAAUAGGCAUUUGGUACAAAAAAAAAAAAAAUCCAUAUCUUGGUGGUUCAUUGCCCUUGUUCCUUUUCACAGUUUUUCAAAUGGAAUAUGAAUAUUCGCUUGGCGUACUAGUAGCAUCAUUCAUUCAGUUUAUUUAACGGAUUACAAUGGAAUUAUUUCUUGAUGAUUGUGAUGGAAAUUAGUGAAUUUAUAUCUUUACAUUGCGAAUUUGUUAUAUUACCA
rnacentral:misc_RNA from 1 species